GUACCUGAGGGGAGCCGGGGAAGGCCCAGUCAGUCCACACUGGUCUCUCUGCCUUCAUCAUUCCCUCUGGUGCCCUGGGUCCACCCGGCUGGGUGGGGACCCUGACUACAAGCAGCGGACCACUUUGAGGACUCGAAAAGGUACCGCUGCAGGGAGAGGGGAUGGUCAGCAUCCUCCCAAGGGUGCCGUCGGGCGGAGGGCACCCGCACUCUCCUCCCGGGAUCCCUUCCACCAUUCUCCCUUCACCCCCACCCCAAGCUGCCGCCCAGGAUGCGCGCCCUCCCUGGCCCUGGUCCUGGUCCGGGGGCAGAGGGGUCCGGGUGAGGGUACGUCCACUGUGUCCACGCGCUCCCCCUCCCGAAGACAGACGCACAGACAGACGCAGACACGGGUGGCCACGGGUGCCAGAAGCGGCAGGGAGGGGAGGUGAGGAUUCAGGACCGGUGUCCUCGUAAGAAGAGGCGACUCCAGGGAUGCGCGCACACAGAGGAAGCCGAGAGGACACAGGGGGAGAAGGCAGCCGUCUGCAAGCGGACGAAAGGGGCCUCAGCAGAAACCGACCCUGCCAGCACCUGAUCUUGGACUUCCAGCCCCAGCACUGGUCUAACCGAAUAGCAACAGAAGGCUGGGGUCGGCUUCCAAGGCUGCAAAACCUCGGAAGACCCCCAGGGCUGCGAAGAUGACUUAUGUGUACCAGACCCCAGCUCACCUCUGGCUCCCUCGUUGUCCUCUCCGCCCCCCCCCCACCCCUACCCUCCCAAAUAACCAAUAA